UACCAGACUCCUACGGGAGGCAGCAGUGGGGAAUAUUGCACAAUGGGGGAAACCCUGAUGCAGCGACGCCGCGUGGAGGAAGAAGGUCUUCGGAUUGUAAACUCCUGUCCUUGGGGACGAUAAUGGCGGUAACCAAGGAGGAAGCACCGGCUAACUACGUGCCAGCAGCCGCGGGAAAACGUAGGGUGCAAGCGUUGUCCGGAAUUACUGGGUGUAAAGGGAGCGCAGGCGGAUUGACAAGUUGGGAGUGAAAACUACGGGCUCAACCCGUAACCUGCUUUCAAAACUGUCAGUCUUGAGUGGUGUAGAGGUAGGCGGAAUUCCCGGUGUAGCGGUGGAAUGCGUAGAUAUUAGGAGGAACACCAGUGGCGAAGGCGGCCUGCUGGGCUUUUACUGACGCUGAGGCUCGAAAGUGUGGGGAGCAAACAGGAUUAGAUACCCCUGUA
rnacentral:rRNA from 1 species